AGGUAGACUAGCAAACAUGCCCAACCUUUACUCACAUUCGAGAAAACACUCCCAACAAGAUUGCUUGCUCCAACAUCGAAGAGGCACCGCCCUCCGAAUCUCGAGAGCCAGACUCCCAACAUGAUUACUUUCUCAAAAAUCGAAGAGAGGGUAAAGGAAUAGUACCACUGCUGGAUAAUUGGAAAGUCCCUGUGUGUCAACCUCUGUGCUUCGUGGCAAGGUAGACUAGCAAACAUGCCCAACCUUUACUCACAUUCGAGAAAACACUCC
rnacentral:lncRNA from 1 species